CUUAUUGUGACAGAUUAAUGUGUAGAAUUUAAGAUUCUAUUAUAGCGUUUUAAAGCGUCUAUGAGA
rnacentral:tRNA from 1 species